GGGUGUAAAAGAGGGUGUCUCAUUAUGGGUGCAAAGACUUCAUUAGUUGGGGCCAAUAAGAUUUUCUAAUGUAAGUUGGAUAACUUAAGUUAAUAGAAAACCCAAUACAAGUAGGACUUGUAUAUUGAGAUUGAAUAUGAUUCAAUCUUUGUGCAUAUAAAAGGGAACCUCUCCUAAGGUCCUAAAGCAAUCAAGGCCAGCCCCUCUCCAUGCUCAAA
rnacentral:lncRNA from 1 species